GAUGAACGCUGGCGGCGUGCCUAAUACAUGCAAGUCGGGCGAACGGACGAGAAGCUUGCUUCUCUUAUGUUAGCGGCGGACGUGUGAGUAACACGUGGAUAACCUACCUAUAAGACUGGGAUAACUUCGGGAAACCGGAGCUAAUACCGGAUAAUAUUUUGAACCGCAUGGUUCAAAAGUGAAAGACGGUCUUGCUGUCACUUAUAGAUGGAUCCGCGCUGCAUUAGCUAGUUGGUAAGGUAACGCCUUACCAAGGCAACGAUGCAUAGCCGACCUGAGAGGGUGCCAGGCCCCACUGGAACUGAGACACGCCCCCGACACGUAGGGGAGGACGCAGUAGGGAAUCUUGCACAGGGGGCGAAUGCCUGCCGGAGCAUCGCCGCGUGAGUGAUGCAGUGUUGCGGAUGGUAACACGAUGUUGUUAGGGAAGACCAUAUGUGGAAGUAAUGGGGAACAUAUUGGCGGUAACAAAGGAGAAUGCAGCGCUAAACUCAGC
rnacentral:rRNA from 1 species